UAAAGACACAACACUGGGCUGAUCAAUGACCUGUAAAUCUCCUCCCCUAGAGCCAAGGACAAAAAAGCCAAAAAAGCCAAAAAAAGAAGCAAAAAAGAAAAAAGCAAUAUUCAAAACAAUGAGAAUCAAAAUAAAAGACCCCAGAAUGGCAAAAUGGCAAAAAAAAAAACAAAAACAAAAAAAAAUUAUAGAAGGGGCAAUCCGGCUACCCGGGAGGAGAUAGCUAGGAACCCAGUCCCACCCCUCAGCCCACCCUUACGAGCCAAGAAGACAACGGACACUUCAAGGCAACGGACGGACCAACAACGAAGACGGACGACAGAACCGGGCCCAAAUACAGGACGCUGUGGUGGCCCGUAAGCUACAAAUACCAUACCAUACCAUACCAGUGCAUCAUGCAUCAGAAUAAGCUUCAUUGAACACACUCGUCAUCAUGAACGGCAUCUAGGAGUUUCAUGAGUUUGGAUCUGUGACCAGCUGAUUUCGCAGUAUCCAAUGGCAACCGUGUAUGACCAGGCGCCGCUUGGACGCCUUGUCCAGUCACGUCUUCUGGGACUGUGUGAUGACUGCCUCUGCAUUCUCAAGUGCCAGUUUCUGCCUCCGGCCCAUUUCAUUAUCAAAGGAUGCUGUUAGCUUAACGAACAGCUCUGCUCCAAGAUUCCAAACGGUUUUACGGUACUGUAUGCCUACAAAACGUUAAUAUUUUUUGGAGGCGGUAAUACUCGGAUGAACUGACCUUUAUGGGUGGGUAUUCAACGUUGAAUAAAGUAGGCUUGUAGCCCUCUGCCUAUUGACUUCUAAGGGUUUUAGUAAUAUUUAUCGAAUAUCUCAUCUGAUAUGCAUUUUCACUCACAGUCGUCGAAAUCGAAAAAUCAUAAGCUUAGAAAUCCGCGGACUUGACAUAUUAUAUUUUAUCGACGAUUCGUUUCGACUUGCUGUCAUGUCAGCUAAUCAUCCGUUGCUUCUCCUAUUUUCACAGGUGCAUUACCUGUCAUCUUUACCGUCGAUACCGUUGAAGAUUUUACCGUCGAUCACGGAGCACCCAUUGCGCUGGCCGUUGCUGGCACUUUUUUAUUUGUCACUAGCUAUUAGUUAUCUGCAGAUAUACAUUAGCCACCUGUACACCCGCUUACACUAGCUCUCAUCAUCUAGUUCUACGUAUGUGUGUGUUUGUUUUAAUUGUAUUGCCGAUGAAUUCGGUAGACAUGCUCCGCCCGCAAACAUGUACCACAUGAUGCAGUUCACUGAAUGUAGCAGUUAAUCACUCGUAAAAAGCGGUCAUGUUUUCGUAUAGUGUAGGUAUGCAUCUAUGUAAGCAUGUGUUCACACUCAUGAGCGAUCCACACAUGAUAUUGCAUUUCCUGUUCAGUUAUAUUUUUAGCACUGGAACACGAUGCUCAUACACUGUGUUGUUAUCUUUCUUUUUUCGCCUGCUCCUUCCUCCAACUUGUGUCUUUGAGUAUUUCAGUCACAUGCUCAAACGUUCUUAAAUGCUCUCGCCAUCGGUUUACGGAUGCGUUGAAAACGGACAUGUGAUGACCAAAUUUAACAAUAUGCGGACAAUGGAUCGACUUCUUGAAGCCUGUGGACGUGAUACACCUUCUCCAUCACCAUCAAGAGAUCAACAUUUUCGAAGACACUUGCGUACGGCUGCAGUGUCCGGCGCAAUGCUGAAUGCGACCUGUUAUCUGUUGGAUCUACUCUGUGAGCCCGAACCCCAGUGCAAUGGCACUGUUCGACUAUAGCGCUGGACGUCGUCUACUUUUUGCUAGAGGGAAAGGUCAUCAUCCGUCCAUGAACUUCGGGCUGCUCACAGCUAUAUUGCCUUGGCAAGUUCUUUGAGCACUCAAUACUGGACUUGGGCUGCGAAAGCUAAUGACAAUUUGGGGAGCUUGAUAUUGCAAUGGCUAUGACGUGAAGGCUCAAUAUGACGAACAGCUGGACUAUUCACCAUUGUCAACGCUUAUGAUAGCUAAAUAUCAUUGUGCUUGGUGUACAUUCACGUCUCGUUUCCUUGCUCCAUUUGUACCUCACCGGUCGUCCGUCCCCACAGGCCUCGGCUGCAGCACAAGCCACAUUCAUCGGCCCAAUCAUCAGUUAUUCAUCCUGCAAGUUUUAAGUCACUUCGUUGUGACCCGGACAUCGUCAUCUUUCAACGAGUUCAAAUGAUUAUUUCAUUCAUCAUCGUCGAUCAGACUCAUCAUGUAAAGACACUUCCAUAAUGCUAGCCGCCAUCUACGUUUGUGCAGGAAGCAAAUAUCAGGUUGUUAUUAGCUGCGGGCUACUCAGUACCGACUGAACUACUGGCAGUAGUGUGCGAGCACCUAAUACUUGUAUUGUGAUACCAAAGCUAAAACGGAUGAUAGCUUAGCGCAUAGGGCCCUACCGCUUUCCACACACACACAAAC